rnacentral:rRNA from 1 species
GACGAACGCUGGCGGCGUGCUUAACACAUGCAAGUCGAACGGAAAGGCCUGCUUUUUCUUGUGGUUUGGGGGGACUCGAGUGGCGAACGGGCGAGUAACACGUGAGUGUUCUGCCCCCAACUUGGGUAUAAGCCUGGGAAACUGGGUCUAAUUCCCGAUAGGACCGCAGGGUGGUGUAUGUGGUGGCGGACGUUUUGCUAGUGGUUGGGGAUGAGCGCGCGGCUUAUCAGGUUGUUGGUGGGGUAGUGGACUACCAAGGCGGGGACGGGUAGGCGGCCUGGGAGGGUGGGCGGGCACGGUGGGACGGAGAUACGGCCCAGGAGGCUACGGGAGGCAGCAGUGGGGAAUAUGGCACAAUGGGUGGAAGCCUGUGGGAGGGACGCCGCGUGAGCGAUGACGGCCUUCGGGUGGUAACCUCCGUUCGACCGCGAGGAAGCCACCUGGUUGGAAGGGUAGUGACGGUAGUGGUAGAAGAAGCACCGGCUAACUACGUG